rnacentral:rRNA from 1 species
UGGGGGAUAUUGCACAAUGGGCGGAAGCCUGAUGCAGCAACGCCGCGUGAAGGAAGACGGUUUUCGGAUUGUAAACUUCUGUUCUUAGUGAAGAAAAAAAUGACGGUAGCUAAGGAGCAAGCCACGGCUAACUACGUGCCAGCAGCCGCGGUAAUACGGGGGGUGCAAGCGUUGUCCGGAAUCAUUGGGCGUAAAGCGUUCGUAGGCGGUAUGUCAAGUCUGGUGUUAAAGCCCGAGGCUCAACCUCGGUUCGGCAUUGGAUACUGGCAAACUAGAAUGUGGUAGAGGUAAAGGGAAUUCCUGGUGUAGCGGUGAAAUGCGUAGAUAUCGAGAGGAACACUCGUGGCGAAGGCGGGUUUCUGGACAUUAGCUGACGCUGAGGUACGAAGGCCAGGGUAGCGAAAG